GCUGGCAUAAUGAUGAUGACUUGUUUGCCGUUUACCCAACUGAUUUUCUUUGAUGAGUAACUUGUAUCUGAAGUGCCAGC
rnacentral:snoRNA from 1 species